GACGAACGCUGGCGGCGUGCCUAAUACAUGCAAGUUGAGCGAUGAAGAUUGGUGCUUGCACCAAUUUGAAGAGCAGCGAACGGGUGAGUAACGCGUGGGGAAUCUGCCUUUGAGCGGGGGACAACAUUUGGAAACGAAUGCUAAUACCGCAUAAUAACUUUAAACAUAAAUUUUAAGUUUGAAAGAUGCAAUUGCAUCACUCAAAGAUGAUCCCGCGUUGUAUUAGCUAGUUGGUGAGGUAAAGGCUCACCAAGGCGAUGAUACAUAGCCGACCUGAGAGGGUGAUCGGCCACAUUGGGACUGAGACACGGCCCAAACUCCUACGGGAGGCAGCAGUAGGGAAUCUUCGGCAAUGGACGAAAGUCUGACCGAGCAACGCCGCGUGAGUGAAGAAGGUUGUCGGAUCGUAAAACUCUGUUGGUAGAGAAGAACGUUGGUGAGAGUGGAAAGCUCAUCAAGUGACGGUAACUACCCAGAAAGGGACGGCUAACUACGUG
rnacentral:rRNA from 1 species